CGAGACCCACGCCCACAGUUGCCAGCGUACUCUCUGGAGUGACGGGUACACUGUGGGGACCGCCGCUGCUAAAGCGGAGGAAGGAAUGGGCAACGGUAGGUCAGUAUGCCCCGAAUGUCCCGGGCUACACGCGGGCUACAAUGGUUGGUACAAUGGGUAUCUACCCCGAAAGGGGAUGGAAAUCUCCUAAAGCCAAUCUUAGUUCGGAUUGAGGGCUGCAACUCGCCCUCAUGAAGCUGGGAA
rnacentral:rRNA from 1 species